GAUGAACGCUGGCGGCGUGCUUAACACAUGCAAGUCGAACGGGAAACCUUUUAUUGAAGCUUCGGCAGAUUUAGCUGGUUUCUAGUGGCGGACGGGUGAGUAACGCGUGGGUAACCUGCCUUAUACAGGGGGAUAACAACCAGAAAUGGUUGCUAAUACCGCAUAAGCGCACAGGACCGCAUGGUCCGGUGUGAAAAACUCCGGUGGUAUAAGAUGGACCCGCGUUGGAUUAGCUAGUUGGCAGGGUAACGGCCUACCAAGGCGACGAUCCAUAGCCGGCCUGAGAGGGUGAACGGCCACAUUGGGACUGAGACGCGGCCCAGACUCCUACGGGAGGCAGCAGUGGGGAAUAUUGCACAAUGGGGGAAACCCUGAUGCAGCGACGCCGCGUGAAGGAAGAAGUAUCUCGGUAUGUAAACUUCUAUCAGCAGGGAAGAUAGUGACGGUACCUGACUAAGAAGCCCCGGCUAACUACGUG
rnacentral:rRNA from 1 species